UACGUAGGUGGCGAGCGUUGUCCGGAAUUACUGGGUGUAAAGGGCGUGUAGGCGGGAAUGUAAGUCAGAUGUGAAAUCCCAGGGCUUAACUCUGGAGCUGCAUCUGAAACUAUGUUUCUUGAGUGUCGGAGAGGAAAGCGGAAUUCCUAGUGUAGCGGUGAAAUGCGUAGAUAUUAGGAGGAACACCAGUGGCGAAGGCGGCUUUCUGGACGAUAACUGACGCUGAGGCGCGAAAGCGUGGGGAGCAAACAGGAUUAGAUACCCUGGUAGUCCACGCUGUAAACGAUGGAUACUAGGUGUAGGAGGUAUCGACCCCUUCUGUGCCGGAGUUAACACAAUAAGUAUCCCACCUGGGGAGUACGGCCGCAAGGUUGAA
rnacentral:rRNA from 1 species